GAAUGACUAGAAAUAGAAAGCACUGAACAAAUUGAAAAACACAAGAAGAAAAGAAACAAAUUUCACGCCAAACCCUUUCUUCUUUAGCAGAUCCUUUCUUCUCCAUACCCUCUCCUAUCAUGACUGAGUUAUCCACCAAAUCUCCGCAGUGCUUGAGCUCUCCACGAAACCUUUUUUUCUGCAAACUUUGUCACGUCUAAGUUCUGAUUUCAACAAUUGCCUCAAAUCUUGUCCAAUUCAUGUCCACAUACCUUCGAGUUCAACAAUUGCCCUAAUCCCUUUGAUUUUGACACUCAAUUGCUGCUUCUAAUCCCUAAUCUAACAUUCCGCCUCUAAUCGAGAGACCGCGACGAACCAUAAUCUCACGAUUCAACUUUCAAUCGUAGCAUCGUAAUUUAGCAUCAGAAGCCAGUUCAUUCUGUCCUCGGGAAAGCAUGUUUGCUGAUUUAAGAUGUUCUCCAUGGCACCGUAUCACUUUGUCCUCCCGAUUGUUUUCCGUACAAAUGAACACUGGGUAUCAUGUCCAAAAGUAUACAACAGGGUGAUACACCGCAUGAAAAGCGACCAAAGCUGGGUAGUAAUGCAGUAGAGGUGAAAGGGAAGGCCGUAGAGGUGAAAGGGAAAGACAAGAUGUCAAAAACUAUUGAUGCUGCAGAGUCGGCAAAUCCUGAUGAGUUUAACUUGCUUAAUUUAACUGAAAUGAGAAAGUGUUUAACAUUGGUAAGAGCAACACGAAUGAAAGCAAACAGGAUGCAUGAAGAGUUAUUUUUGGAUUUCCUAAACCUGGGAAGAAAAGGAUUGCAGAGCUCUUUGAUAGUGUCAAAGAUUCCUUCCAUUUCUCAUAAUCGUAAAUUCCUAAGGGUAAUAAUAAUCACUAGAGUUGAAUGGAAGGAGUUUGCAAUGGCGUACAAUUAUUAGAUGACCGACACACCCAACAUAGAUUUGUAUAUUUAUUUAUAAUUUAUAAUAGGGAAAACCUAGGAGUGGAAAUUCUUGAUACCCCAUAAUUCAUAAAUUACCUCAUAAUCUGAUAAUUUCUGUUAGGAUAGAUCCAAGGAAAUUGUGGUUUCAAGACUUUAAGGUAUUUUUCUAAUUUUGAAAUGAUGAAUAAAAAUGAUAUAUAAAAUAAGUGUUUGAGAAUCAAUCACUUGUACCAAUGGAUUUACAUUGUAUCAUUUAUAAGAGCCUGUGACUUGUCUUAAUUCAUAAAACUUGUAUGUCACCUUACUUUCAUUCACUCUGUUGUGUCUAGAGGUAUGUGUGUGUGUGUGUCCUGUGAUCCAAAAAAAUAAGUGGUCGGUUCUUGUGUCAGUCAUUCUGUUUGUUUAGGCUUGCUUUUUGUCUAACCCUCUGAUUAUAUAUAUACACACACAGACAAGGUUCAAUUUUUGUCCACCGGAUGAUGCAUUGGCUAGAAAGAACUUUGAAAGGCGAGGUGCGGUAAUAAUGAAAACAAAUCGAGCAUCUGACUGUGGAGGUUUUUAAAAAGCACGUUCACACUUGUGACUCUAUCACCACAUCGCAACAUAGAGCUAAUUUGACGGAACUGAAUGGCACUCCCCCCGCUCCUGUAGAUUUGUUUGUUUACACACACCAACAUCGCAAGAAUAAGGCUUGAGUUGAUCGAAGAUCGGAACAUGUCUAUGAAAACUAUAAAUGUAGAUUGGAAGAAUUAACCCAACAAGCAUCUUUGCAAGGAACUCAGCCACCAAAGGAAAUAGAUGUGUGGAUUGAGGUUGCAGGAACAAAGAAAGGACACAUAUAUGGUCUUGGGAGUGAAUCUUCUUUAUUUGCAGGCAGGCGAAAUUACCGUGGUUCAGGUUCCGCGUCAACUGAAUGGGUGCAAAGACAUGAAAUUGAAGAACUGAAAAUUGAAAGGGAAGAAAUGAGAAGGGAAAAUGAUGAACUUCGUGAUAUGGUAAAACAAUUGAUGGAAAGCUUAAACUUUCGGCCGAAGCCAUAUACUAGAGAUGAAGUUCAUGAAGAUAUUGCAGCUAAUAGUAACGAUGAUGUGACUGAUGAUAAUGAUGAUGACAUGUCUGAUGAUGGUGAAGAAUGAUGAUAAUUAUGAUGUGUUUGAUGAUGGUGAAGAAUGAUGAUCAAGAACAAAGUAUGACAAGUGUGAUUUAUUAUAUAUUGUUUUCUUAGUUAGGAUAUUGACUUUUUUUUAUGCAAGAAUUGAACGGGAUUUAUUCCCCUUUUUGUAUGUGAAGAUCAAUUCACUUAUAUACUUGCAAGUGUAGGUAGUAGUGAUAACUUGGUCUUGGUUAGGUUAUGCUUUGGAUUUAUUACUUAUUUUUGGAUAAGUAGUUGGUAAUACUUAAAUAUAAAUAUAUUGUGUUCA